rnacentral:rRNA from 1 species
GGCGAUUUCCGAAUGGGGAAACCCAGUGUGUUUCGACACACUAUCAUUAACUGAAUCCAUAGGUUAAUGAGGCGAACCGGGGGAACUGAAACAUCUAAGUACCCCGAGGAAAAGAAAUCAACCGAGAUUCCCCCAGUAGCGGCGAGCGAACGGGGAGGAGCCCAGAGCCUGAAUCAGUGUGUGUGUUAGUGGAAGCGUCUGGAAAGGCGCGCGAUACAGGGUGACAGCCCCGUACACAAAAAUGCACAUAUUGUGAGCUCGAUGAGUAGGGCGGGACACGUGGUAUCCUGUCUGAAUAUGGGGGGACCAUCCUCCAAGGCUAAAUACUCCUGACUGACCGAUAGUGAACCAGUACCGUGAGGGAAAGGCGAAAAGAACCCCGGCGAGGGGAGUGAAAAAGAACCUGAAACCGUGUACGUACAAGCAGUGGGAGCCUCUUAAUGGGGUGACUGCGUACCUUUUGUAUAAUGGGUCAGCGACUUAUAUUCUGUAGCAAGGUUAACCGAAUAGGGGAGCCGAAGGGAAACCGAGUCUUAACUGGGCGUUAAGUUGCAGGGUAUAGACCCGAAACCCGGUGAUCUAGCCAUGGGCAGGUUGAAGGUUGGGUAACACUAACUGGAGGACCGAACCGACUAAUGUUGAAAAAUUAGCGGAUGACUUGUGGCUGGGGGUGAAAGGCCAAUCAAACCGGGAGAUAGCUGGUUCUCCCCGAAAGCUAUUUAGGUAGCGCCUCGUGAAUUCAUCUCCGGGGGUAGAGCACUGUUUCGGCAAGGGGGUCAUCCCGACUUACCAACCCGAUGCAAACUGCGAAUACCGGAGAAUGUUAUCACGGGAGACACACGGCGGGUGCUAACGUCCGUCGUGAAGAGGGAAACAACCCAGACCGCCAGCUAAGGUCCCAAAGUCAUGGUUAAGUGGGAAACGAUGUGGGAAGGCCCAGACAGCCAGGAUGUUGGCUUAGAAGCAGCCAUCAUUUAAAGAAAGCGUAAUAGCUCACUGGUCGAGUCGGCCUGCGCGGAAGAUGUAACGGGGCUAAACCAUGCACCGAAGCUGCGGCAGCGACACUAUGUGUUGUUGGGUAGGGGAGCG